UUUAAAAUUUUACUCUUUCCUUUAAAUAUUUUAAGCAGCACAACAUGCAUUCAUAACCCCAACCCUAACACAAUCUCUCCAAUUUCAUAUCACUGAUGCGUGCAUUCUGCGUUUCUCUCUACUCCGACGUGUUCUUCUGCUAGUUUUCUUCUGCUAGUUCUGCGUGUUGUUCUACUCGCGUUUUUCUGCUCGCGUCAAGGUUUGUUCUACCUCCGCUAUGUUCUUUUGCUCGCACCUUGUUCUUCGUUCUCUCGCGCUGAGUUUUGCUCUACUCCUCCAUGUUCUAAAUUGGGAGAAGUAGCUACUGAUGCAAAGAUAGUGAAAAAUGUGACCGUUUUUCUUUUCCUUAAUGUUUCGGAAGUUUAUAUAACUCAAUUAGAUUACAGAAAGGUCAUCUGCAGAUAAAUGUAAGUAUGUUCCUUUUGUCUUUAAACAUGUGAUUUAAUUUAAAGUUUAAGAUAUUGGAAGAAUAAAUUCUCAAUUGCUACUAUUUUACCGCAGAGUUGUUAAGCAAGAAAUAUGAGGAGAAGUACAAAUAUUGUAGCAGAAAUAACAUCCAAAUUAAUUGUUGAAGAAACUAAAUUUCAUGUUAUACAGGUGUUCUUGCGUGAAUAAUCGAUUCCAAGGUAUAGCUUGUUUUUUUUAUGUUCGGACUCGCUCUUCUUACGUCGGUCUUCUUCAAGAACGGAAAGUUAGUAAAAGUAGAAGAUAAAUAUCAAAUUACUCAGAAUGAAUAGUAUACUUGUGACUUAAUUAGUGAGUCACUUGUAUUUAUAAAGUUGUGUUUAGGACGGUUAUAAGCUUUAGCUAAUGGACCUUGUUUAGAGAGAUUUCUGUGUCCAUCUGAAUUGUAGUUAUUUGAUUUUAUAGGAUAAGUCACGUAGUUAUUUGAAUUUACAGGAUAAGUCCAUUAAGAGAACAAAAUACGUACUCUCCACGUACUCUUGAUAUAACACGUUGUUAAAUAUAUAUUAAGGAAAAUUAGGAAAAAUUUUGUAUUUAGAGGGAAAAUUAAUUACCCUUCCAUUGCGGAAUUUAGACACAAGCAUCACAAAUUCUUUCACUUUUAGAUAUGAGUCGCCAAUUCACCAUGUAAUUUGGACAAUAUUUAAUAAAAUUUAGCAUUGCAAAAAAAAAUUUAUACAAAUUUUUUUUAUAAAGUAAAUUAUUGUUUACCUCUAUCAAUCCUCUAAUACUAUAGAAAGGAGUGCCAUGAACAAUUUCAGUAGAGAGCUUAUCUGGCCCAUGUUCUUUUACGAAUUUCUCCCUAGCUUUUGCAUUGUUAGUAUUAUGAAUAUUGGUUAAAAAAUCCACUGUUAACCUUUCUCUAUUUUUUGUCCCUAUUACCAAUCUACUGUCCCUAAUAUUACACCAGUACAAUUUGCCGCGGACCAUGAGUGACUAUGAGUCCAACCAGGCAGUUAGUUCCGCAUGCCAUUAAUUAGGGGUUUUUCCCUCUCUUCAUUACAUAAGCGGUAAACUCCCGCUGCACCUCUUCAAUACAGUGUUUAAGGGUAAACUCAGAAACAAAACCCUCUGGCUUAACAUCCCCUAAAAAACAACAUAAGGAACAAAGAACUAUUUUAUUUGAAAAGAUUAUUGCCAUGCAAGCAAUAAACACGUAUACUUGGAAACUAAUUUUUCAAGAAACCACUAGAAUCUUGAUUAUCGCUGGAAUCUUUAUGUUUCUAAUAAUGCAGGAUGACGCCACUAUUUUGAUUAUCCAAAAAAAUACAAGCAAAAAUCUAAUAAAGAAAAAAAAAAAAGAAAAUAAGUCUAUUAGGAUAAGUCACGUAAUUAUUUGAUUUUAUAGGAUAAGUCUGUUAGGAAACCAAAACACAUACUUUUCAUGUACUCCUGAUAUAAUACGUGUGUAUUUAGUUUUAACUAGAUUCUGAUUUAUAAUUUUAACUAAGCCGAAUUAUAGCUAACAGACGGAUCAACUGGUAAUUAAAAAUUUGCAUUAUUAUUUGGCAAAUAGUAAAUUAAGCCUUGCUUCAUGAAUGGUUUAUUUUAAUUAUAAUUAAUUUGGUCUUUCUGUUACUACUCGCCUUGUUGUGCUCUCUUCGUGUUCCUCUCUACUCAUGGUUCGUCGUGCUAGUUUGCACUGUGUUGGUUAUUUCUCUCUGCAUUUUGCCAGAAAAUUGCAUAGUACAAGAUCUGAUUUUGUUCUGCAUUUGAUCUGCAACCAAACUUGUUUCGUUUCAUUAGGGAGGAAAUCAAUCACAGGAAGCUUCAUUGGGAGCAUGAAGGAGACAGAGGAGAUGCUGCAAUUUUGGAAGGAGAAGGGACUGAGUUCGAUGAUUGAGAUUGUGAACAUGGAUUAUAUCAACACAGCAGUGGAAAGACCGGAGAAGAACGAUGUGAAAUACAGGUUUGUUGUGGAUGUUAAAGGAAGCAAGCUUGAUCAGUGACAUUAUUACUAUUAUACCAACUAAACAAGUUUGAUGAAGAAGAUUAUAUAUGGGGUGGUAGCAUAAACCCAAUUAAGUAGUUUCUUUGUGUUUUGUUAAUUCAUGAUUGCUCUGUUUCCUCUGUUCAAAGCUAUUAUUAUUUUGUAAUUGGAGUCUUCUUGAUGAAUGAAUAUUGAAAAUGAUUUUCAUUUUCCAUCCGUUUAAAGUAGAAAAGAAAAGAUUAUUGAUUAGGGUAGUGGCUCACCAACUUGCAUUGAGAGGCGUGGCAGAGUGUAAGUCGUUGAGUGACACCACCCACCUAAUAUUUGGGGUGAUCCUAUUUGUGACACAUUUUGCACUAAAUGGCAUUUUCCGAGUUCUAGUUCUUGGAUGGAUUUGUGUCUUCAUUUCGGUCACUAUUUUUGCAGCACCUCUAAGCAUUGUGGUCAAUGAUUAAUUAUCAUUUAAUUUCAUUAAUUUCUUAAUAUCAUACUUGUUAUUAGCUUUGUGAUUAGUUAUUAUUGUACGUGGUGCAGGCACAUGUUAUAAGAACAGAGAGUGUUCAAUUUAUGUCAUUUAAUUUGUCAUUUUCCGUCACAUUAAGUGCGGUUAUGUGGUUUGCAUAUAGUUUAUUUCUCAGUGAUAUAUGUAUUGCCGUAAGUACACCAACUUUAUCAGUUUGAAUAUAAAGUUAAAGAAUUUGAAAGCGACUUUACUUAUUAAUUGAGUAAUUAAUUGUCAACUAUCAAACGUGUUGGGUUUUGCACUUGGGGUACUUCAGAUGCUGCUAUAUGCCAUAUACAGAAAUGCUGCUAUAUACCAUAUAAAAAGCUUACUAUUUGGGACACAGGUUUCCUUACAAAAACAAGAAUCAUGGACAUAAGCAACUGGUGGAAAGACGAGGUUGAACGGCAAAACAAUGUAGAAAGAUAUGAUGUGUUGAAAGAGAAGAAGAAUCAAAAAGUAAAGUUGAUGAUGAUCCUGAAGCCUUCAAGUGUUAACAAAACAUCUGUGCUAUGAUCUCUCAUCAAUUGAAAAGAAAGUUUGGGUCAUAAGGUAGAACUUAUUCAAGAUCAGUUUGAUAAAGAUCCUUGGGAGAAUGGUUCUAAGGAUGAGAAUGGUUCCAAAAUGCUUGUCGUAUUUAGCUUUUUUUUUUUGAAUACAAGUAUUUUGUUAAGGAUCUUUUAUUUAAUUAA